CUGAGCUGGGCAUGAGUAGGACAGAAAGCUGCCACAGCUGACAGUCCUGGGGGAGGUGGACGUGGCACACGGUGUCCGAGACACAAGGAGAAGGUGAGGCCUGCCCUCAAGAGGGGAGUUGACUGUGUUUUGGGAGUUUGAGUGGAUGAGGGUUACUUCCAAGUAGGGGAAGGAAAGGUGUGGCUUUUCAGUUGGGCCUCAAAGGAUGAGUGAGUUAGGAACACAGGGAAAUGGAGGGGAAGGACAUCCCAGGGGACAAGAAGAGCCAGAGCAAAG
rnacentral:lncRNA from 1 species